rnacentral:misc_RNA from 1 species
GACAAAAUAAGGAACAACUUUCAUAUUUACCAUUUCCUCAAAUUCCUACUGCAACAGGGCCCAAUGGAACAGUAAAGUUGGGUCUCAAAAACUGAAAUUUCUGCCCUCUUAGAAUUAAGUUGAGAAAUGGAAAUGGCAAUCAAUUCCAACAAGUUUUAAAUACAAAAUGUGGUAUGUUUGGGGUGUUAAAACCAAUACAGCUAUUUUCUAUCCAAAAGUCAACA